rnacentral:rRNA from 1 species
GACAGAGGUGCCGAGCGUUAGGCGGAAUCACUGGGCUUAAAGCGUGUGUAGGCGGAUGCCUAAGUACUUUGUGAAAUCUCACGGCUUAACCGUGGAACUGCUUGGUAUACUGGGUGUCUUGAGCCAACUAGGGGCGACCGGAACAAACGGUGGAGCGGUGCAAUGCGUAGAUAUCGUUUGGAACGCCAAUGGUGAAAACAGGUCGCUGGGGUUGUGCUGACGCUGAGACACGAAAGCCAGGGGAG